rnacentral:rRNA from 1 species
CCUGCCCUCUGAUGGGGAAUAACCCGCCGAAAGGCGGGCUAAUACCGCAUAACAUUCUUUGGCCCUCGGGCUGGAGAAUCAAAGGCCGCAAGGCCGUCGGAGGAGGGGCCCGCGCCCGAUUAGCUAGUUGGUGAGGUCAUGGCUCACCAAGGCGAUGAUCGGUAGCCGGCCUGAGAGGACGACCGGCCACACUGGAACUGAGACACGGUCCAGACUCCUACGGGAGGCAGCAGUGGGGAAUAUUGCGCAAUGGGCGAAAGCCUGACGCAGCGACGCCGCGUGGGGGAUGAAGCUUCUCGGAGUGUAAACCCCUUUCGGCCCGAACGAAAAAUCCCGCAAGGGGUCUGACGGUACGGGUAUAAGAAGCCCCGGCUAACUACGUGCCAGCAGCCGCGGUAAGACGUAGGGGGCCAGCGUUGCUCGGAAUAACUGGGCGUAAAGGGUUCGUAGGCGGUGUGACAAGUCGGGAGUGAAAUCCUGAGGCUUAACUUCAGGACUGCUUCCGAAACUGUCAUGCUCGAGUGCGGGAGAGGCGAGUGGAAUUGCAGGUGUAGCGGUGAAAUGCGUAGAUAUCUGCAGGAACACCAGUGGCGAAGGCGGCUCGCUGGACCGCAACUGACGCUGAGGAACGAAAGCUAGGGGAGCAAACAGGAUUAGAUACCCUGGU